rnacentral:rRNA from 1 species
CCAGACUCCUACGGGAGGCAGCAGUGGAGGAUAUUGCACAAUGGGGGAAACCCUGAUGCAGCGACGCCGCGUGAGUGAAGAAGUAAUUCGUUACGUAAAGCUCUAUCAGCAGGGAAGAAAAUGACGGUACCUGACUAAGAAGCCCCGGCUAACUACGUGCCAGCAGCCGCGGUAAUACGUAGGGGGCAAGCGUUAUCCGGAAUUACUGGGUGUAAAGGGAGCGUAGACGGCGGCGCAAGUCCGGAGUGAAAGCCCGCGGCCCAACCGUGGGACUGCUCUGGAAACUGUGCGGCUUGAGUGCGGGAGGGGCAGGCGGAAUUCCUAGUGUAGCGGUGAAAUGCGUAGAUAUUAGGAGGAACACCAGUGGCGAAGGCGGCCUGCUGGGCUUUUACUGACGCUGAGGCUCGAAAGUGUGGGGAGCAAACAGGAUUAGAUACCCCUGUA